rnacentral:rRNA from 1 species
GAUGAACGCUGGCGGCGUGCCUAAUACAUGCAAGUCGAGCGAAGCGGGGACGGGUGAGUAACACGUGGAUAAACACCUAUAAGACUGGGAUACCUUCGGGAAACCGGAGAUAAACCGGAUAAUUAUAGAUGGAUACGCGCUGCAUUAGCGAGUAGGUAAUGUAACGGCUUACAAAGGCAAAGAUGCAUAGCAGACCUGAGAGGGUGAUCUGCACCCCUGCAACUGAGACACGGUCCAGACUCCUACGGUAGGCAGCAGUAGGGAAGCUUCCGCAAUGGGCGCAAGCCUGACGGAGCUACGCCGCGUGAGUGAUGAAGGUCUUCGGAUCGUAAAACUCUUUUAGUAGGGAAGCGGUACCGACUCAGGAAGCCACGGCUAACUACGUGCCAGCAGCCGCGGUAAUAC